GUAUCCUGGCUCAGGAUGAACGCUAGCUACAGGCUUAACACAUGCAAGUCGAGGGGCAGCAUGUUGGUUGCUUGCAACCAAUGAUGGCGACCGGCGCACGGGUGAGUAACGCGUAUCAACCUACCCUUGUCCAUCGGAUAACCCGUCGAAAGGCGGCCUAACACGAUAUGCGGUUCACAGCAGGCAUCUAACGUGAACGAAAUGUGAAGGAGAAGGAUGGGGAUGCGU
rnacentral:rRNA from 1 species